rnacentral:rRNA from 1 species
UACAGAGGUCUCAAGCGUUGUUCGGAUUCAUUGGGCGUAAAGGGCGCGUAGGCGGACGGCUUUGUCGGGCGUGAAAUUCCAGGGCUCAACCUUGGGGCUGCGUUCGAGACGGGUUGUCUAGAGUUUGGGAGAGGGUCGUGGAAUUCCCAGUGUAGAGGUGAAAUUCGUAGAUAUUGGGAAGAACACCGGUGGCGAAGGCGGCGACCUGGUCCAUGACUGACGCUGAGGCGCGAAAGCGUGGGGAGCAAACAGG